GAUCCCUUAGCUCAGCGGUAGAGCAUCUGAUUCCAGUGCGAAAACUAAGUAGAACCAUUGGAUGAGUUUCCAGAAGGUCGUCCGUUCAAUCCGGGCAGGGAUCA